UGCCUUGCGCUGCCCAGACUAGCGGACAAUACAGUCAGGAUGGCUAAAGGUGACCCGAAGAAACCAAAGGGCAAGAUGUCUGCUUAUGCCUUCUUUGUGCAGACGUGCAGAGAAGAACAUAAGAAGAAAAACCCAGAGGUCCCUGUGAACUUUGCAGAAUUUUCCAAGAAGUGCUCUGAGAGGUGGAAGACGAUGUCCGGGAAAGAGACAUCUAAAUUUGAUGAAAUGGCAAAGGCAGAUAAAGUGUGCUAUGACCGGGAAAUGAAGGAUUAUAGACCAGCUAAGGGAGGCAAGAAGAAGAAGGAUCCUAAUGCUCCCAAAAGGCCACCGUCUGGAUUCUUCCUGUUCUGUUCAGAAUUCCGUCCCAAGAUCAAAUCCACAAACCCCGGCAUCUCUAUUGGAGACGUGGCAAAAAAGCUGGGUGAGAUGUGGAAUAAUUUAAAUGACAGUGAAAAGCAGCCUUACAACCCUAAGGCAGCAAAGCUGAAGGAGAAGUAUGAGAAGGAUGUUGCCGACUAUAAGUCAAAAGGAAAGUUUGAUGGUGCAAAGGGUCCUGCUAAAGUUGCCCGGAAAAAGGUGGAAGAGGAAGAUGAAGAAGAGGAGGAGGAAGAAGAGGAGGAGGAGGAGGAGGAUGAAUAAAGAAACUGUUGAUCUGUCUCCUUGUGAAUACUUAGAGUAGGGGAGCGCCGUAAUUGACUCAUCUCUUAUUUGAGAAGUGUCUGUUGCCCUCAUUAGGUUUAAUUACAAAAUUUGAUCACGGUCAUAUUGUAGUCUCUCAAAGUGCUCUAGAAAUUGUCAGUGGUUUACAUGAAGUGGCCAUGGGUGUCUGGAGCACCCUGAAACUGUAUCAAAGUUGUACAUAUUUCCAAACAUUUUUAAAAUGAAAAGGCACUCUUCGUGUUC